GUUUGAUUUGGCAGCACAUAUUCUCAAACUAGAACCAUGCACAAAAGUUUAGCAUGGCCCUUGUACACAGAUGAUACACAAACUCAUGAAUUGUUUCAUAUUUGU